rnacentral:rRNA from 1 species
GGAAAUAGUAGCGUUCGUUCGAUGCAUUUCCAGAGGGUAUGCGCCGCGACCGAUACGAAAGGCUAGUGAAUCUGGCGAAUUGAGGUGGAAAACCCUUCGGGGUCUUCAGUACCAGUUCGUCGGCCUAUAGUCGCUAGACCGCAGUAUGUAUCGAGCGCGGAAUAUAUCGAACACUGGCAAGAAUGCUCGCUUAAGUGAUGGAUAGUCGUCGGAAUAUUCCGUACCUGCUCGCAGGUUAUGUUUAUUCCCGUUCGGCUUUUGAAGUCACGGGCGAGUUAUAGUGUUCGGGCGUCAGCGGCGUCCGAGACGGUCAACCGUCCGACCCGUCUUGAAACACGGACCAAGGAGUCUAACGUACGCGCGAGCUAAUGAGUGGAAAACUCAUAAGCGCAAUAAAAGUAAAAGCCGUUUCCGACGGCGUGGGGUACGAUCCCAGUGUAUUUAUUUACACCGGGCGCAGUACCAUCCCAUCCUGAUCGCUCGUCGAUAGGGUGGAGACUGAGUGCAUACGUUGGGACCCGAAAGAUGGUGAACUAUGCCUGAGCAGAGCGAAGCCAGAGGAAACUCUGGUGGAGGUUCGUAGCGGUUCUGACGUGCAAAUCGAUCGUCAGACUGG